rnacentral:rRNA from 1 species
UACGAAGGGGGCUAGCGUUGCUCGGAAUUACUGGGCGUAAAGGGCGACGGUAGGCGGAUGAUUAAGUCGAGGGUGAAAGCCCGGGGCUCAACCUCGGAACUGCCUUUGAUACUGGUCAUCUUGAGUACGGGAGAGGUGUGUGGAACUCCGAGUGUAGAGGUGAAAUUCGUAGAUAUUCGGAAGAACACCAGUGGCGAAGGCGACACACUGGCCCGUUACUGACGCUGAGGCGCGAAAGCGUGGGGAGCAAACAGG